UGGCGUAAUGAGCAAAGCUUCGGCCUGCCAAACCGAAGGUCCCGGGUUCGAUUCCCGG
rnacentral:tRNA from 1 species